ensembl:snRNA U6 U6 spliceosomal RNA
GUGCUCGCUUUGGCAGCACAUAUACUAAAAUUGGAACAAUACAGAGGAGAUUAGCACGGAUGACACGCAAAUUCGUGAAGCAUUCAGUAUUUUU